UGGUAGCAACAAUGUUUCACAUUGAACAUGCCAACUCAAACACAUCAAGGAAAAGUGAAAAGAAAUUCACAUUUUGCCAUUAGACUUGGGGACACAAGUUUAACCAAUUUCUGGUUUGGUUCAGGCAUUAUGGAAGGAUAGCAUGUACCAGAAGAAAUAUGAAGCAGCAGCUCUGAAGCCUGAGCAACGGACCUCGGCAGCCCCAACCCAACCUGGCUUAACUCAGCCUCACUGAACCGGAUCCAACACUCUUGGCUCCCUGGGCUUGCUACAGCUCUCUGAUCCUUAGAAUCCUCUCAGUUCCAGCUAGAAUGCUACGUCAGGCACUUCGCAGAUUUGGUCAAAAGCUGGUACGCAGACGUCCACUGGAGAAAAAAGUGUAUGAGUUUAAAUCUGGCAUAAAACUGAGCACUCUGGACUUAGUGGCCCUGGGUGUGGGCCACACAGUGGGUGUUAGUGUGUUUGUCCUGGCUACUGAGGUGGCCAGUAAUCAAGCAGGACCAUCCAUUGUGAUCGGCAUUUUGGUGGCGGGCCUAACAUCGUUGUUGGCUGGGCUGUGCUAUGCAGAGUUUGGUGCCUGGCUUCCCCAUUCUGGCUCUGCGUAUCUCUACACCUAUGUCACUAUGGGUGAACUCUGGGCUUUCAUCACUGGCUGGAACUUUAUCCUCUCCCUUGUUGCUGAUGCAGUUAUUGUGAUGAAGGCCUGGAUCUUAACUUUUGACAACCUGAUUGGGAACUGGUUCUAUGCCACCCUGCAUGAGAGCAUCUCACAGCAUGUUCCCCAAGUCUUCAUAGACUGUCUAGGCUACUUGGCUAUGAACCUUCUGUUUGGUCUCAUAGAAAUUCCAAGUCUGAAUUAUCAUGGGUUCUUCAGAGUUUUCAAACUGUUUACAUUGGUAAAAUUUUUGGUUGUCAGUUUUGUCAUCAUCUCUGGCUUCAUGAAGGGGGACCUGCACAACUGGAACCUCACAGAAGAGGACUACAUGCAGGCUGAAGUCAAUGACACCUUUAGCUUGGGCCCUCUGGGCUCUGGUGGAUUCGUGCCUUUUGGCUUUGAGGGGAUUCUCCGUGGAGUAGCUACCUGUUUCUAUGCUUUUAUAGGCUUCGACAGUAUUGUUACCAGAGUUGAGGAAGCCCAGACUCCCAAGCGUUCCAUCCCCAAGGGCAUUGUGAUUUCACUGCUCAUCUGCUUUUUGGUGUAUUUUGGUGUCUCUGUGGCAGUUACACUCAUGGUGCCUUACUACCAGCUUACUACCUUGCCUGAGGUAUUUCUCCAUAUUGGCUGGGCCCCUGCCUAUUAUGUUGUAGCUUUUGCAACUUUCUGUAGUAUUUUUGUCAGCAUCUAUCAGAGCUUUCUCCUCCCCAUACAGUGGGUGAUAGACAUGAUGGCACUGGAUGGCGUCCUGUUCCCUAUGCUUGCCAAGAAAUGUGCCCGCAUACGCACCUGCAUUUUGUUCUUUGAAUUCAUUUGUAUUGUUUCAGUCAUGCUAUUAUUUUUUGGAUUCGCUGAUCUCUUGGACCUCAGGUCUAUUGUGACCCUGACAUCUUAUUCCCUGGUAGCUUUUUGUGUUCUCAUCAUCAGGUAUCAGCCUGAGUGGACGAAUGAAGAAAACGAAGCACAGGUGCAGGAGGAGAAUUUGGUAAAUGAAGCGCAGGUGCAGGAGGAGAAUGGAUCUGCAGCAGAGAAGCUGACUCUACAGGGACUAUUCUUUCCAGGCAGCCCCACCCCCACUCCACUCUCUGGCCGGGUUGUCGUUGUUUGCUCCUCACUGCUUGUUCUGCUGCUGACUGUUCUCUGCCUGGUGCUGGCCCAGUGGCCAGGUCUGCUCCCUGGAGACCCAGUGCCGAUCACAGUGGUUGUGCUGCUCCUGGUGCUCAUCACUGGGAUCACUGGGGUCAUCUGGAGACAGCCACAGAGCUCCACUCCCCUUCCCUUUAAGGUCCCUGCUGUGCCUCUCCUCCCACUCCUGAGCAUCUUUGUGAAUGUUUACCUUAUGAUGCAGAUGACAGCUGCCACAUGGGCCCGAUUUGGUGUCUGGAUGCUUAUUGGGUUUGCUCUCUACUUCGGGUAUGGGCUCUGGCACAGCCUGGGCCCUUAACCCCACUUAAGGGCCCAAACUGUAGACCUUGAACUCAGCAGUGCCUGUAUAUAUUUGGUUUGACAUCAUCAUUGAAUGCAGUCUGGUUCCCCUACACAAUAAUGGGGAGUACUCUCGAGUGUAUGGAAAUAUAGGUCUCCUUUGAGAUAUUAUUGGGGGAACACUAAUAGAGCUCUGUAUUUAAGGUAUGGUGAAGGAUGUGUCUUUGCUCUUUUUCCUUUUUUUUUUAUGUUCUACUUUCAAUUGUGUCUAUAGCUGCUCGCUGGCUUUUACAAAAUUAGUAUUAAAAGAAAAUUGA